rnacentral:rRNA from 1 species
AGUGAACGCUGGCGGUAGGCCUAACACAUGCAAGUCGAACGGCAGCACAGUAAGAGCUUGCUCGUACGGGUGGCGAGUGGCGGACGGGUGAGGAAUACAUCGGAAUCUACUUUUUCGUGGGGGAUAACGUAGGGAAACUUACGCUAAUACCGCAUACGACCUACGGGUGAAAGCAGGGGAUCUUCGGACCUUGCGCGAUUGAAUGAGCCGAUGUCGGAUUAGCUAGUUGGCGGGGUAAAGGCCCACCAAGGCGACGAUCCGUAGCUGGUCUGAGAGGAUGAUCAGCCACACUGGAACGAAGACACGGUCCAGAAUCCUACGGGAGGCAGCAGUGGGGAAUAUUGGACAAUGGGCGCAAGCCUGAUCCAGCCAUACCGCGUGGGUGAAGAAGGCCUUCGGGUUGUAAAGCCCUUUUGUUGGGAAAGAAAAGCAGCAGGUUAAUACCCCGCUGUUCUGACGGUACCCAAAGAAUAAGCACCGGCUAACUUCGUG